rnacentral:rRNA from 1 species
UACAUAGGCCUCGAGCGUUAGGCGGAAUCACUGGGCUUAAAGCGUGUGUAGGCGGAUGCCUAAGUACCUUGUGAAAUCCCACGGCUCACCCGUGGAACGGCUGGGUAUACUGGGUGUCUUGAGCCACUUAGGGGCUGCCGGAACAAAUGGUGGAGCGGUGAAAUGCGUAGAUAUCAUUGGGAACGCCAAUGGUGAAAACAGGCAGCUGGGAGUGUGCUGGCGCUGAGACACGAAAGCCAGGGGAGCGAACGGG